AUAUACCGGUUCUCGUUAGAUCACCGAAGUUAAGCAACAUUGGGCGCGGUCAGUACUUGGGUGGGUGACCACCUGGGAACACUGCGUGCCGUUG
rnacentral:rRNA from 1 species